AUACGGAGGGUGCAAGCGUUACUCGGAAUCACUGGGCGUAAAGCGCGCGCAGGCGGCCUGAUAAGUUGGAUGUGAAAGCCUACGGCUCAACCGUAGAACUGCAUCCAAAACUGUCAGUCUAGAGUCUGGGAGGGGAAGAUGGAAUUAGUUGUGUAGGGGUAAAAUCCGUAGAGAUAACUAGGAAUACCAAAAGCGAAGGCGAUCUUCUGGAACAGUACUGACGCUGAGGCGCGAAAGCGUGGGGAGCAAACAGGAUUAGAAACCCCAGUAGUCC
rnacentral:rRNA from 1 species